rnacentral:rRNA from 1 species
GACGAACGCUGGCGGCGUGCUUAACACAUGCAAGUCGAACGGAAAGGCCCGGCUUUUGUGGGGUGCUCGAGUGGCGAACGGGUGAGUAACACGUGAGUAACCUGCCCUUGACUUUGGGAUAACUUCAGGAAAAUGGGGCUAAUACCGGAUAGGAGCUCCUGCUGCAUGGGGGGGGUUGGAAAGAGUCGGCGGUUGGGGAUGGAUUGGAGGCUUAUCAGCUUGUUGGGGGGGUAGUGGCUUACCAAGGCUUUGAGGGGUAGCCGGCCUGAGAGGGUGGCCGGCCACAUGGGGACUGAGAGACGGACCAGACUCCAACGGGAGGCAGCAGUGGGGAAUAUUGCACAAUGGGGCGAAGCCUGAUGCAGAAACGCCGCGUGCGGGAUGACGGCCUUCGGGUUGUGAACCGCUUUCGCCUGUGACGAAGCGUGAGUGACGGUAAUGGGUAAAGAAGCACCGGCUAACUACGUG